rnacentral:rRNA from 1 species
AAAUUUCUUUUUUUUAUAAAAGUUAAAGCAGCAUGUCCAACGACAAACACCAUGACCAUGAAACCGCGAUGGCUCAUUAUAACAGCUAUAAUUUACUUGAUCUUGACACUAUCCUACUUGGAUAACUGUGGUAAUUCUAGAGCUAAUACAUGCAUUAAAGCUCUGACCUCACGGGAAGAGUGCAUUUAUUAGAACAAAACCAAGCGGCUUCGGCUGUUUCUGGUUGACUCAUAGUAACUGAGCUGAUCGCAUGGUCUUGCACCGGCGACGUGUCUUUCAAGUAUCUGCCGUAUCAACUUUCGAUGGUAGUGUAUCUGACUACCAUGGUGAUCACGCGUAACGGAGAAUAAGGGUUCGGCUCCGGAGAGUUCGCCUGAGAAAUCGCGAACACAUCUAAGGAAGGCAGCAGGCGCGAAAAUUACCCACUCUCAGCACGAGGAGGUAGUGACGAAAAAUAACGAGACCGUUCUCUUUUGAGGCCGGUCAUCGGAAUGGGUACAAUUUAAACCCUUUAACGAGUAUCUAUGAGAGGGCAAGUCUGGUGCCAGCAGCCGCGGUAAUUCCAGCUCUCAAAGUGCAUAGAAUUAUUGCUGCGGUUAAAAAGCUCGUAGUUGGAUCUGUGCCAUAGGACGGGGUCUACCUUCGGGUACGUACUCCGCUCCUAGGCUUUUUGCUGGUUUUCCCGUCGUAGCCUUCACUGGUUGCGGCGGGUGGCUGGCGAGUUUACUUUGAGAAAAUCAAAGUGCUCAACACAGGCGUAUCGCUUGAAUGAUUGUGCAUGGAAUAAUAGAAAAGGAUUUCGGUCCUCUUUUAUUGGUUUUGUGGACUGAGAUAAUGGUUAACAGGGACAAACGGGGGCAUUCGUAUCGCUGCGUGAGAGGUGAAAUACAUGGACCGGAAAAAGACGCCAUAUGCGAUUUUUCAAAUUAAAAAAAAAAUAGAAAAAAGAAAAAAAAA